rnacentral:rRNA from 1 species
AGAGUUUGAUCAUGGCUCAGAUUGAACGCUGGCGGCAGGCCUAACACAUGCAAGUCGAGCGGUAGCACAGAGAGCUUGCUCUCGGGUGACGAGCGGCGGACGGGUGAGUAAUGUCUGGGAAACUGCCUGAUGGAGGGGAAUAACUACUGGAAACGGUAGCUAAUACCGCAUAACGUCGCAAGACCAAAGAGGGGGACCUUCGGGCCUCUUGCCAUCAGAUGUGCCCAGAUGGGAUUAGCUAGUAGGUGGGGUAACGGCUCACCUAGGCGACGAUCCCUAGCUGGUCUGAGAGGAUGACCAGCCACACUGGAACUGAGACACGGUCCAGACUCCUACGGGAGGCAGCAGUGGGGAAUAUUGCACAAUGGGCGCAAGCCUGAUGCAGCCAUGCCGCGUGUAUGAAGAAGGCCUUCGGGUUGUAAAGUACUUUCAGCGGGGAGGAAGGCGAUAAGGUUAAUAACCUUGUCGAUUGACGUUACCCGCAGAAGAAGCACCGGCUAACUCCGUGCCAGCAGCCGCGGUAAUACGGAGGGUGCAAGCGUUAAUCGGAAUUACUGGGCGUAAAGCGCACGCAGGCGGUCUGUCAAGUCGGAUGUGAAAUCCCCGGGCUCAACCUGGGAACUGCAUUCGAAACUGGCAGGCUAGAGUCUUGUAGAGGGGGGUAGAAUUCCAGGUGUAGCGGUGAAAUGCGUAGAGAUCUGGAGGAAUACCGGUGGCGAAGGCGGCCCCCUGGACAAAGACUGACGCUCAGGUGCGAAAGCGUGGGGAGCAAACAGGAUUAGAUACCCUGGUAGUCCACGCCGUAAACGAUGUCGACUUGGAGGUUGUGCCCUUGAGGCGUGGCUUCCGGAGCUAACGCGUUAAGUCGACCGCCUGGGGAGUACGGCCGCAAGGUUAAAACUCAAAUGAAUUGACGGGGGCCCGCACAAGCGGUGGAGCAUGUGGUUUAAUUCGAUGCAACGCGAAGAACCUUACCUACUCUUGACAUCCAGAGAACUUUCCAGAGAUGGAUUGGUGCCUUCGGGAACUCUGAGACAGGUGCUGCAUGGCUGUCGUCAGCUCGUGUUGUGAAAUGUUGGGUUAAGUCCCGCAACGAGCGCAACCCUUAUCCUUUGUUGCCAGCGAUUCGGUCGGGAACUCAAAGGAGACUGCCAGUGAUAAACUGGAGGAAGGUGGGGAUGACGUCAAGUCAUCAUGGCCCUUACGAGUAGGGCUACACACGUGCUACAAUGGCGCAUACAAAGAGAAGCGACCUCGCGAGAGCAAGCGGACCUCAUAAAGUGCGUCGUAGUCCGGAUUGGAGUCUGCAACUCGACUCCAUGAAGUCGGAAUCGCUAGUAAUCGUAGAUCAGAAUGCUACGGUGAAUACGUUCCCGGGCCUUGUACACACCGCCCGUCACACCAUGGGAGUGGGUUGCAAAAGAAGUAGGUAGCUUAACCUUCGGGAGGGCGCUUACCACUUUGUGAUUCAUGACUGGGGUGAAGUCGUAACAAGGUAACCGUA